GUCUGCUGGAACGUGCUAAUUACUGUGUUCCAGCAGCCUCCAUGUCACAUGUAUUUAGCUUCCCCACCUUUCAAAGUGGUGGCCCAGCUGCUUUAACUAAAGCUUGUUGAACGAACUAUAGUUAAAUUGCCCCCAAUACCAUUUUGAAGCAUGGGGUGCAGAAUACAUGUUGAAGUGUUGCCCACCCCUCCACUCUGGAGCAUAUGUAUAGAUGCCCAAAGAGAGUAAAAACCCAGAUCUGGAGGCCCAGAACUUUAAUCACAAGGCCAUUCUUUCUCCUUCAAGGCUACAAAUGAAGUGCUCUGAAAAUUGUAACAGAUGGUGAGAGAGCUUGAGCUCUAAGUUGGAAGAACAAAGGGCAGGCAAAAAUUUAGUCUUUGCACAGACAAAAGACAUUAAAUUAACCAAACCUUAUUGUGCUGAAGAUUUUGAUGAACAAACAUGCUGAGACACAGGACAGACUUGAUUUAGAGUCCAUGGAGGAACUGAUCUUCUGCAUAAGAAAGCAGAAGCAAGACCAAUGUAGGAUGAGAAGUUGAAAUUGCCCAAGUAGAGGCCAUAACAAAUAAAGAUGUGAUAUGAUGCUAAAUGUUAAUCCUUUCACUCUUUUGCUCUGUAACUUAGAUGUAGAGCAGGAAUGAACCAGUUGUUGUUGUUGUUGUUCUGUGAAACUGUUGUAAAAAUCACA